CCCUGCCAUUUGUACACACCGCCCGUCGUUACUACCGAUUGAAUGACUUAGUGAGACCUCGGGAUUGAGGUAAGAUCUGGUAACAGAAUCUUUUCUUGAGAACCUGUUCAAACUUGGUCAUUUAGAGG
rnacentral:rRNA from 1 species